AACCUGGAGGAGAUAAAAGAGGCGCGGGGACAAAUGUGCUGUGGUCCCGGUGCACAGUGACACCUGCACCGAGCACCGAGGAUCUGAUCGGCCCCGGGUCCAGCAGAAACCUCCGGACGGGACCGGGCUGAGGGGAGAGCUCUGCCACCUACCUGCCGAGAGGCCUCACUGAAAACACCCAGACUGCACAAAUAACUACCAGCUGAGGUUUAACUUCAGUCAUAAAAUCAGAAAGUUUAGUCUGAGUGGCACCACCCCUCACUCCCACCAACUGUUAUCGGAGCAAAGCAAUCUGUUGGCACAUGCUGAAGAAACUAAUCCUACAUGUGGAGGCUACACCGGACCUUUCAGCCUGUGCUGUCUUUUCCUCUGCUCGGAGGUCUAAAGUUGUUCAUGGCUACAUAAGGCAGACUGCCCUUAGGAAUCAGAAAAACUCUCUGUUACACUGGUUGUGUGACUGCUUGUAAGCUGCAUGACGGCUGUAGAACCACAGACAGACUGGUCUCUGCUAUUGCAUUGUUGAAUGGAGGUGAUAAUGCUUAAAGUUGCUCAGUGACAGUUAACACAAAUACAGGACAUAUUUGUGUCUCACCGUGAAAGCAGAGAAAAUGUUCAAAUAAACAAAAAGGAACGUUAAA